CUUGGAUUAUGGCUGUUUGCCGGAUCUUUAAGUAGAACCAGCUCGGCUGAAAUACAUGAGCAGCGCUUCUUUAACAAAGGCGGCUUGACUCGGCGUAAUAGCUUAUUCGCUGAGGACGCUUGUUAAUAACGAGUUGCUUCUAAAUCAAUUUACUUUAAGCUUUAGACCUCAAAUCAGUCAGGAUUACCCGCUGAACUUAA
rnacentral:misc_RNA from 1 species